GAUUUCUGCCCAAUGCUCUGAAUGUCAAUGUGAAGAGAACCAUCAAAGCGCAGGUAAACAGUAGGAGUAACUAUGACUCUCUUGUGAGCGGGCUCAGCGCACGCGUGGAU
rfam:Ixodes scapularis strain Wikel colony gcontig_1108378464950, whole genome shotgun sequence.